rnacentral:rRNA from 1 species
AAAUGAAUAGACGGGAACCCGCACAAGCGGUGGAGUAUGUUGUUUAAUUCGAAGAUACACGAAGAACCUUACCAGGUCUUGACAUACCAUUGACAUAAUUAGAGAUAAUUAGUUCCUUCGGGACAAUGGAUACAGGUGGUGCAUGGUUGUCGUCAGCUCGUGCCGUGAGGUGUUGGGUUAAGUCCCGCAACGAGCGCAACCCCUAUUGCUAGUUGCUAACAUGAAAGAUGAGGACUCUAGUGAGACUGCCAGUGACAAACUGGAGGAAGGUGGGGAUGAUGUCAAAUCAUCAUGCCCUUUAUGACCUGGGCUACAAACGUACUACAAUGGCCACUACAAAGAGAAGCAAAGCGGUGACGUGGAGCGAACCUCAUAAAAGUGGUCUCAGUUCAGAUUGAAGUCUGCAACUCGACUUCAUGAAGGCGGAAUCGCUAGUAAUCGCGAGUCAGCAGAUCGCGGUGAAUACGUUCCCGGGUUUUGUACACACCGCCCGU